UGGGAUUAAGGCUUAGCUGUUGUUUUUGUUGGGAUUGAGGGAGAAAUUGCUUUUUUGGGAAAAUACCCUUUUAGAUGUUGAAAAAUGUAGUUUGAAAUUGAUGUUUUGAAAUUCUUAUAGCUAAAACUUUUCAAAUUUAUUAAAAUCAAAUUUUAAUGGUUUCUAACAAAUAUAUUUAAAACAUUGCUUUUCUUAAUAACUCAAGUAAUAUUACGAAAUAGACCAUUGCUAUGUUUUGAAACCAUUUAUUUAUCAGUCCUGUCCAAAAAUACUCUCAAAUUGCCAUUAGUCAAACAAGAAGAUCCCAAAUUAUCAUUUUAAUCCCAUAAACAAGAAGAGCUUUGGUAACUCUUGGUUGACUUGCUGUUUUGCUUUUUUUUUUUUUAAUCUUUAUA
rnacentral:misc_RNA from 1 species